CACAAUGGACGCAAGUCUGAUGGAGCAACGCCGCGUGAGUGAAGAAGGCUUUCGGGUCGUAAAACUCUGUUGUUGGAGAAGAAUGGUCGGCAGAGUAACUGUUGUCGGCGUGACGGUAUCCAACCAGAAAGCCACGGCUAACUACGUGCCAGCAGCCGCGGUAAUACGUAGGUGGCAAGCGUUAUCCGGAUUUAUUGGGCGUAAAGCGAGCGCAGGCGGUUUUUUAAGUCUGAUGUGAAAGCCCUCGGCUUAACCGAGGAAGCGCAUCGGAAACUGGGAAACUUGAGUGCAGAAGAGGACAGUGGAACUCCAUGUGUAGCGGUGAAAUGCGUAGAUAUAUGGAAGAACACCAGUGGCGAAGGCGGCUGUCUGGUCUGUAACUGACGCUGAGGCUCGAAAGCAUGGGUAGCGAACAGGAUUAGAUACCCUGGUAGUCCAUGCCGUAAACGAUGAAUGCUAGGUGUUGGAGGGUUUCCGCCCUUCAGUGCCGCAGCUAACGCAUUAAGCAUUCCGCCUGGGGAGUACGACCGCAAGGUUGAAACUCAAAGGAAUUGACGGGGGCCCGCACAAGCGGUGGAGCAUGUGGUUUAAUUCGAAGCAACGCGAAGAACCUUACCAGGUCUUGACAUCUUUUGAUCACCUGAGAGAUCAGGUUUCCCCUUCGGGGGCAAAAUGACAGGUGGUGCAUGGUUGUCGUCAGCUCGUGUCGUGAGAUGUUGGGUUAAGUCCCGCAACGAGCGCAACCCUUAUGACUAGUUGCCAGCAUUUAGUUGGGCACUCUAGUAAGACUGCCGGUGACAAACCGGAGGAAGGUGGGGAUGACGUCAAAUCAUCAUGCCCCUUAUGACCUGGGCUACACACGUGCUACAAUGGAUGGUACAACGAGUUGCGAGACCGCGAGGUCA
rnacentral:rRNA from 1 species